CGGCGAUUUCCGAAUGGGGAAACCCAGUGUGUUUCGACACACUAUCAUUAACUGAAUCCAUAGGUUAAUGAGGCGAACCGGGGGAACUGAAACAUCUAAGUACCCCGAGGAAAAGAAAUCAACCGAGAUUCCCCCAGUAGCGGCGAGCGAACGGGGAGGAGCCCAGAGCCUGAAUCAGUGUGUGUGUUAGUGGAAGCGUCUGGAAAGGCGCGCGAUACAGGGUGACAGCCCCGUACACAAAAAUGCACAUAUUGUGAGCUCGAUGAGUAGGGCGGGACACGUGGUAUCCUGUCUGAAUAUGGGGGGACCAUCCUCCAAGGCUAAAUACUCCUGACUGACCGAUAGUGAACCAGUACCGUGAGGGAAAGGCGAAAAGAACCCCGGCGAGGGGAGUGAAAAAGAACCUGAAACCGUGUACGUACAAGCAGUGGGAGCCUCUUUUAUGGGGUGACUGCGUACCUUUUGUAUAAUGGGUCAGCGACUUAUAUUCUGUAGCAAGGUUAACCGAAUAGGGGAGCCGAAGGGAAACCGAGUCUUAACUGGGCGUUAAGUUGCAGGGUAUAGACCCGAAACCCGGUGAUCUAGCCAUGGGCAGGUUGAAGGUUGGGUAACACUAACUGGAGGACCGAACCGACUAAUGUUGAAAAAUUAGCGGAUGACUUGUGGCUGGGGGUGAAAGGCCAAUCAAACCGGGAGAUAGCUGGUUCUCCCCGAAAGCU
rnacentral:rRNA from 1 species